AGGGGGCACAAAACAAACAUGAGUGGACCAAGUUGAUACACACACACACACACACACACAUAUAUAUAGUAAAACAGUUAUCAACGUACUAACCUCCAAGUUUUAUGAAAACACAUAUAAACAUAGGUUUUCUGAAACCUAGCAUGUCGUACAAUGUCUCAAAUCAUAACUUGUAUAUAUAAUAAUCACUAGUGAAUUGUCCAAUAACCCUCCAUGCCCCAUGCCAGCUCCCCAUUCCUGAGAAGACAAUCAGAGGAAAAUACACUUCAGGCCUCAUGCCGGCUCCUCGUCCCUGUGCUAAAUAGCUAGAGGAAACACCCUCCAGACCCUAUGCCAACAUCAAACCGUCGCCCGGGACAGACCGGAAUCUAUGCCUAUGUCCCGUAGAGGAAAGGACCACUAGGUAAGUACAAAACCAUUGAACAUAUAUAUAUUGAAAAGCAACUUCAAAGUAUAAAGUCAUCCAUCAUCUAUAUUAUAAAGAGGUGUUCGAAACAUGUUCUAAAUAUCAUAUCGUCAUCCAUCAGAUAUUUUAUAAGAACACGGGUUAUAGGAAAAAUAGUAAUAAUUCAAACUAGCCUCAGUAAGCAUGUUAUCUCAAAGCAUUUCAUAGAACAUAAUCAUCAAAUCAUGCUUUUGAUGUAUGCAUUUCUACUAUCAAAACAUGCAUUUUUAGAAGGGGUGCACUUACAGAUACUUAGCCCCCGAAGGGCCACGGAACUAGCGAAGACAGAAACGCCACUAUAAUUGCCCCUAAGCACAUAAAAGGUCCAAUUUAAUAAAACUAUAUUAAAACAAUUGAAUUUGGAAAAACGGACAUCGGAAACGGAUUCAGGACCUCGAAUUACCUUAAGAACGGUCCCAGAUAAAUUUCGUAAACGUCAAUAAAAGUCAACAGGGGGAAUAUUCCGUCGGAUUGGACUUGGGUCUUAAGGGUGUUGGGUUAAGCCUAGGGGUUUUGGGGUUUAGAGGGCACAUGCCUAAGGCUCUAAAGAACAUGGCCCGAAGGCCUUAGGGUUUUAAAAAAAAAAAUUAAUAAACAAAAAUAAUUAAAAAGGCUGGGGUUGGGCUUAGGGCCCCCAACAGCUACAACCCAAAGGCCUUAAGCCUAAGGAUUUUUGGGUUCUAGAGAGGAUGGGCCUAUGGCCCUAAAUAAAACGGCCCAAAGGCCUUUUUAUUAAACCAGAUAAGAUUAAAACAAAAUAAAUAAAUAAAAGAAAUGGGUUUGGGUUGGGCUCGGCAGGAAAGGCCCAAAAGGCCUAUGUUUGAUGGGUCGCCGGACCCAAGGAAGAAGAA
rnacentral:lncRNA from 1 species